AGCUUUGCGCAGUGGCAGUAUCGUAGCCAAUGAGGUUUAUCCGAGGCGCGAUUAUUGCUAAUUGAGGGUUUAGUUCAUUCACAUGUAAUGUUAUUCUUGCUAUGGUUGGAUUUAUGUAUGCUAUUCUGCCCCCCCAUAU